rnacentral:lncRNA from 1 species
ACACACACACACACACACACACACACACACACACACACACACACACACACACACACACUCCCAUGCACACAAUCUAAAGGUGAGGGAUCCCACUACUGUACAUUUUGCAUUCCUAUAUAGUCAGCCUCCACCGGAGCCCACAGGUACAAUUCCUCCUGUUCUGAUAAUGGACAUGUAUUGCCCUGGGCUCUGUACUGCCUGCCUUGGUCCCUGAAUCUCAGGCAAUCUAUGGAGGGCUAUUUUAAAGCCCCUGUCCUUCUCUCCUACCUCAGAUACUCAGCCACACACACACCACCCCCAAUGCCAUGUUGAAGAAACCCUGUAGCUGUUGAGCAGGGCCAGCUGUGCUGUAUAGGCUCUGGCCUCCCGCCCGUUCUCCCUUUUGCUUUCAGGUCUCCAUUUGUCCACCUCUGAGAAGAUCUUCCGCUUCCAGGACCCGGGCCUGCUCCUGUGGGUUCUGGGGAGCCUCCUCCUCGGAGGGAUUCUGGCCUUUGGCUUGGGCUUCUCUGAGUUCCUCUUGGUCUCCAGAACCUCGAGCCUCACACUCUCCAUUGCUGGCAUUUUUAAGGAAGUCUGCACCCUGCUAUUGGCAGCUCACCUGCUGGGUGACCAGAUCAGCCUUCUGAACUGGCUGGGCUUCGCCCUCUGCCUCUCUGGCAUCUCCCUUCACGUGGCCCUCAAGGCCCUACAUUCCAGAGGUACUGUGGCCUCCUCCCC